rnacentral:rRNA from 1 species
AUUGAACGCUGGCGGCAGGCCUAACACAUGCAAGUCGAGCGGUAGCACAGAGAGCUUGCUCUCGGGUGACGAGCGGCGGACGGGUGAGUAAUGUCUGGGAAACUGCCUGAUGGAGGGGGAUAACUACUGGAAACGGUAGCUAAUACCGCAUAACGUCGCAAGACCAAAGUGGGGGACCUUCGGGCCUCAUGCCAUCAGAUGUGCCCAGAUGGGAUUAGCUAGUAGGUGGGGUAACGGCUCACCUAGGCGACGAUCCCUAGCUGGUCUGAGAGGAUGACCAGCCACACUGGAACUGAGACACGGUCCAGACUCCUACGGGAGGCAGCAGUGGGGAAUAUUGCACAAUGGGCGCAAGCCUGAUGCAGCCAUGCCGCGUGUGUGAAGAAGGCCUUCGGGUUGUAAAGCACUUUCAGCGGGGAAGAAGGCGGUGAGGUUAAUAACCUUGUCGAUUGACGUUACCCGCAGAAGAAGCACCGGCUAACUCCGUGCCAGCAGCCGCGGUAAUACGGAGGGUGCAAGCGUUAAUCGGAAUUACUGGGCGUAAAGCGCACGCAGGCGGUCUGUCAAGUCGGAUGUGAAAUCCCCGGGCUCAACCUGGGAACUGCAUUCGAAACUGGCAGGCUAGAGUCUUGUAGAGGGGGGUAGAAUUCCAGGUGUAGCGGUGAAAUGCGUAGAGAUCUGGAGGAAUACCGGUGGCGAAGGCGGCCCCCUGGACAAAGACUGACGCUCAGGUGCGAAAGCGUGGGGAGCAAACAGGAUUAGAUACCCUGGUAGUCCACGCCGUAAACGAUGUCGAUUUGGAGGUUGUGCCCUUGAGGCGUGGCUUCCGGAGCUAACGCGUUAAAUCGACCGCCUGGGGAGUACGGCCGCAAGGUUAAAACUCAAAUGAAUUGACGGGGGCCCGCACAAGCGGUGGAGCAUGUGGUUUAAUUCGAUGCAACGCGAAGAACCUUACCUGGUCUUGACAUCCACAGAACUUUCCAGAGAUGGAUUGGUGCCUUCGGGAACUGUGAGACAGGUGCUGCAUGGCUGUCGUCAGCUCGUGUUGUGAAAUGUUGGGUUAAGUCCCGCAACGAGCGCAACCCUUAUCCUUUGUUGCCAGCGGUUAGGCCGGGAACUCAAAGGAGACUGCCAGUGAUAAACUGGAGGAAGGUGGGGAUGACGUCAAGUCAUCAUGGCCCUUACGACCAGGGCUACACACGUGCUACAAUGGCAUAUACAAAGAGAAGCGACCUCGCGAGAGCAAGCGGACCUCAUAAAGUAUGUCGUAGUCCGGAUUGGAGUCUGCAACUCGACUCCAUGAAGUCGGAAUCGCUAGUAAUCGUAGAUCAGAAUGCUACGGUGAAUAAGUGUCCCGGGCCU